rnacentral:rRNA from 1 species
AGGAUAAACGCUGGCGGCGUGCAUUAGACAUGCAAGUCGAACGGACUUCUCGGGGCUUGCUCUGAGAAGUUAGUGGCGGACGGCUGAGUAACGCGUAGGUGACCUAUCCCGAAGUGGGGAAUAACUGCCCGAAAGGGUGGCUAAUACCGCAUGCGAUCGUACGUUCACUCGAACGAUCAAAGCAGCAAUGCGCUUUGGGAGGGCCUGCGUCCGAUUAGCUCGUUGGUGGGGUAAUGGCUCACCAAGGCGACGAUCGGUAGGUGGUCU